CACUCCUGCGGGAGGCAGCAGUGGGGAAUUUUGGACAAUGGGCGAAAGCCUGAUCCAGCAAUGCCGCGUGUGUGAAGAAGGCCUUCGGGUUGUAAAGCACUUUUGUCCGGAAAGAAAUCCUUGGCUCUAAUACAGUCGGGGGAUGACGGUACCGGAAGAAUAAGCACCGGCUAACUACGUGCCAGCAGCCGCGGUAAUACGUAGGGUGCGAGCGUUAAUCGGAAUUACUGGGCGUAAAGCGUGCGCAGGCGGUUUGCUAAGACCGAUGUGAAAUCCCCGGGCUCAACCUGGGAACUGCAUUGGUGACUGGCAGGCUAGAGUAUGGCAGAGGGGGGUAGAAUUCCACGUGUAGCAGUGAAAUGCGUAGAGAUGUGGAGGAAUACCGAUGGCGAAGGCAGCCCCCUGGGCCAAUACUGACGCUCAUGCACGAAAGCGUGGGGAGCAAACAGGAUUAGAUACCCGGGUAGUCCCAUG
rnacentral:rRNA from 1 species